rnacentral:piRNA from 1 species
UCAGAAAUAAAGGUGUCAAUUUCCUGUAG